GAUGAUGUGGCUGAGAGGUUAAAGUGAUGGACUGCUAAUCCACUGUGCUUUGCAUGCAUGGGUUCAAAUCCCAUCUUCAUGG